GACGAACGCUGGCGGCGUGCUUAACACAUGCAAGUCGAACGGAAAAGCCCUGCUUUUGUGGGGUGCUCGAGUGGCGAACGGGUGAGUAACACGUGAGUAACCUGCCCUUGACUUUGGGAUAACUUCAGGAAACUGGGGCUAAUACCGGAUAGGAGCUCCUGCUGCAUGGUGGGUGUUGGAAAGUUUCGGCGGUUGGGGAUGGACUCGCGGCUUAUCAGCUUGUUGGUGGGGUAGUGGCUUACCAAGGCUUUGACGGGUAGCCGGCCUGAGAGGGUGACCGGCCACAUUGGGACUGAGAUACGGCCCAGACUCCUACGGGAGGCAGCAGUGGGGAAUAUUGCACAAUGGGCGGAAGCCUGAUGCAGCAACGCCGCGUGCGGGAUGACGGCCUUCGGGUUGUAAACCGCUUUCGCCUGUGACGAAGCGUGAGUGACGGUAAUGGGUAAAGAAGCACCGGCUAACUACGUG
rnacentral:rRNA from 1 species